GAAUAUUCUCCUCUACUGUGGACACGCUCAAGAUCCUCGUCCUGUCCUCACAGUGUCUCCAUCAUGGACGAGUCCUGGAGACUCAGUGACUCUGACCUGCAGUGUUGAACCUCCGUCUGCAGGAUGGAGGCUCUUCUGGUAUAAGGCUGUUCCACACCUGCCAUACAACUACAUCUACACCUAUGAGCUUCUAGCUGGUGGCACCACUGGGACUCAACAGGAUUCCUACAUUCUUCAUGGACAGACACACACAGCAGGAUAUGUGUGCAGAGC
ensembl:lncRNA